rnacentral:rRNA from 1 species
UACGAAGGGGGCUAGCGUUGUUCGGAAUCACUGGGCGUAAAGGGCGCGUAGGCGGCCGAUCAAGUCGGGGGUGAAAGCCUGUGGCUCAACCACAGAAUUGCCUUCGAUACUGUUUGGCUUGAGACCGGAAGAGGUAAGUGGAACUGCGAGUGUAGAGGUGAAAUUCGUAGAUAUUCGCAAGAACACCAGUGGCGAAGGCGGCUUAACUGGUCCGGUUCGUGACGCUGAGGCGCGAAAGCGUGGGGAGCAAACAGG